ACAGAACGACCCGCGAACAUGUAAUAAUCAACCGGGCACCUAGUGAUUGGCGCUUUGUUUGAUCUUCUCGGUGCCUUGUCGGCGUGCGUUUUCCGCUCCUUAGGGACGCUGUAGAUGUCUCGUUGGUGUACUAACCAACCCCGGCACGGUACGUGCCAAGGAAAAACUAAACUUAAGAAGGCUUGUUUCAUAUUUGCCCCGUUCGCGGUGUGAUCAUGGAAUGUGACUUCUUUUAACAUAAACGACUCUCGGCAACGGAUAUCUCGGCUCACGCAUCGAUGAAGAACGUAGCAAAAUGCGAUACUUGGUGUGAAUUGCAGAAUCCCGUGAACCAUCGAGUUUUUGAACGCAAGUUGCGCCCGAAGCCAUUUGGCCGAGGGCACGUCUGCCUGGGCGUCACACAUCGCUUCGCCCCCCACUACUAGAUCCGGGAUGUUUGGUGUUGGGGCGGAUUGGUCUCCCGUGUCUUUGAUGCGGUUGGCCAAAUAGGAUUCCCUUCGGUGACGCACAACUAGUGGUGGUCGAUAAACCCUCGUCUUUUGUUUUGUGUCGUUCGCUGCAAGGAAAACUCUAUAAAAACCCAAUGUGUUGGCUUAUGAUGACGCUUCGACCGCGACCCAGGUCAGGCGGGACUACCCGUUGAGUUUAAACAUAUCAAUA
rnacentral:rRNA from 1 species